rnacentral:rRNA from 4 species
UUGACCUCGGAUCAGGUAGGGAUACCCGCUGAACUUAAGCAUAUCAAUAAGCGGAGGAAAAGAAACCAACAGGGAUUGCCCCAGUAACGGCGAGUGAAGCGGCAAGAGCUCAAAUUUGAAAGCUGGCUCCUUCGGGGUCCGCAUUGUAAUUUGCAGAGGAUGCUUCGGGAGCGGUCCCCAUCUAAGUGCCCUGGAACGGGACGUCAUAGAGGGUGAGAAUCCCGUAUGGGAUGGGGUGUCCGCGCCCGUGUGAAGCUCCUUCGACGAGUCGAGUUGUUUGGGAAUGCAGCUCUAAAUGGGUGGUAAAUUUCAUCUAAAGCUAAAUAUUGGCCGGAGACCGAUAGCGCACAAGUAGAGUGAUCGAAAGAUGAAAAGCACUUUGAAAAGAGAGUUAAAAAGCACGUGAAAUUGUUGAAAGGGAAGCGCUUGCGACCAGACUCGCUCGCGGGGUUCAGCCGGCAUUCGUGCCGGUGUAUUUCCCCGCGGGCGGGCCAGCGUCGGUUUGGGCGGUCGGUCAAAGGCCCUCGGAAGGUAACGCCCCUAGGGGCGUCUUAUAGCCGAGGGUGCAAUGCGACCUGCCUAGACCGAGGAACGCGCUUCGGCUCGGACGCUGGCAUAAUGGUCGUAAGCGACC